AAAAGGUUUUUUACUAUUUUUGAUGGAGAGAGAGUGUCGGUUACCCUUCUCCUUCAGCCUUAACAAAAUCUCAAACAUUUCUGCAUACAUAAAACCCCUUUACUCUCAUUUUCUACUUCCACCAUUUUCGUUUCAUGCAUGGAGGCAAAGUUGCAUUCAAAACUUAAAGAAGCUAUAUUUACCAUUUUCCUUUGAUACUCAGACAACUAUAUAGAUCACUGAAAAUGAGGAAAAAACGUGGUGGGAUUUCGAAGAAGGUCUCUAAAUCCAAGAGUAAUGAGAAGAUGAAAAAACUAAUGAAAGCGAUGACACAAUAGCGAGCUCAAAUGGAAACUUUAUUGAGGGAACAGAGAUGGCUGCAAGUAUCUUUGAUGCAAAAGGAUCUUGCUAAGAAAUGGAAAGAAGGUUUGAACAGUGCUUCAACCAGCAAGUCUAAGAAGAGAAAGCAAGUACCCAUAUCAGAUUUGGACGAGUCUUCUAGUGGUGAGCAAAUGGAAGAUGAUUUUGAAGAGGAAGAUGAUGGGGUAGAGGUAGAUUCCUGAUUAGUGGAUGAACAUAAAGGGGCAAUUGUGACUAGAUGCUCGUUUGAGAGGGUGAGUCAAAUUGUGUGCAUGAUGUUUGAGGAACAAAAAUCAAUGGUCAGAGUGGCUGGAAUUGGUUCAUUUCUGAGGGAAGAUUUCCCUAACAUCUACAAUCCUUUAGUGCAGUAGCUAGUGGACAGUGUAGAUGUCAAUAAGAGCUGCCUAAAAAUAUAUAGGAAAGAGUUGACGAUAUGUGGGAAGAUAUUUCAGCAGGUGAUGGAUAUACCUGAUGGGGGUGAUGUAACCAAAGCUAAUGAGAAGGUUCUGCAGUCAGAGUUGUAGUCUAGGUUUCUUAGUAAGAAGCAAUGAGUUGAAAUGUCAGAUUUAGAACUUCAGCUAGUGAACUACAAGGAAGCAGGCAAUUAUUUUUUAUCUGGUAUGAUCCUAUUCAUUGUGGGAAGCGUAUUGGUGCCAUGAUCUGGGAAUCAACUGUGUACGGGAUAUAUUAAUGUUGUGUAUGAUGUGAGCAGAAUUACUUUCCACAACUGGGCCACCCACAGUUUUGGGGAUCUUAUGAAGUCUAUUGGCAAGUACCAAGCUGGCCAGUUGGUCCACCUAAGUGGAUGCACGACUAUCCUCCAGCUUUUCUAUAUGCAUCAUCUCGAAGUUCCAGGGAUGUAUGUUGGCCGAUCCAUUUCACCAAUCCAAUAAGUUAUCUUAUGAACAAUGGUGGCUACAGUGCCUGCAAAGAGGUAAUUCCAUGUAGAUAUAAUUUUUUUUAUUUUUUUUAAUAUUCCAUGUUGAUAUUGCAUUUACAGAAUUGUUGAUGGAGUUUUUCCUGGGCCGAGUGGAAAAGCGAGUAGGAGUUUCUCGGACACAAUGUUGCUGGAAAAGGUUACCAAAUUUGGUUAUCAGAUAGAAGCACUAACUUGCAUUGAUUGUUGCUCUACCUGAUACUAUUGAGGGUAUUGUAUCAAGAGAGUUAAGUAUGAUGCGGGCCAAUUCUCAACCAAAAGCAAAUGUAGAUUGUAAAGGCAAGGCAAACUGUGGAAAUGAAGGAGUAAAUGCCCAAGACAGGGAAUGACCACCUUGAAAAGGUGCCUGAAGUGUUUGAUUUGACCACUGUGGGAAAUGAUUCUCUUAUUCCAGCCAAUACCAUGCUUUCUAAAUCGACUGAGGCGAAUCUGUGGGGUGCUGAAGGUUACUAGAAAUUUUUCUCAUCUAAUGGGGUUGUCGUAGGGCCUAUUUGGGUGGGUGAAUCUGUGUCCCCAGAGAUGUACAAAUUGGCCAACUAUAUGUAUAACCCUGUUCUUAGUGAUUUGCAUGUGUUGUGUGACUACACCAACUUGCAAGUGGAUCGCUACUGCAUGCAGUCAUUGUUUCCUGACAAACGAGUUCGCGGGG